rnacentral:rRNA from 2 species
CUGGUGUCAGCCGCCGCGGUAAUACCAGCACCUCGAGUGGUCAGGACGUUUAUUGGGCCUAAAGCAUCCGUAGCCGGCUCUGCAAGUCUUCGGUUAAAUCCACCUGCUCAACAGAUGGGCCGCUGGAGAUACUACAGAGCUAGGGAGUGGGAGAGGCAGACGGUAUUCAGUGGGUAGGGGUAAAAUCCUCUGAUCCAUUGAGGACCACCAGUGGCGAAGGCGGUCUGCCAGAACACGUUCGACGGUGAGGGAUGAAAGCUGGGGGAGCAAACCGGAUUAGAUACCCGGGUAGUCCCAGCUGUAAACGAUGCAAACUCGGUGAUGCAUUGGCUUAUGGCCAAUGCAGUGCCGCAGGGAAGCCGUUAAGUUUGCCGCCUGGGAAGUACGGACGCAAGUCUGAAACUUAAAGGAAUUGGCGGGGGAGCACCACAAGGGGUGAAGCCUGCGGUUCAAUUGGAGUCAACGCCAGGAAUCUUACCCGGGGAGACAGCAGAAUGAAGGUCAAGCUGAAGACUUUACCAGACAAGCU